GACGAAGGUGGCGAGCAUUGUUCGGAAUCACUGGGCAUAAAGCGCACGUAGGCGGCGACGUAAGUUGGGUGUGAAAUCCCUCGGCCCAACCGAGGAACUGCGCCCAGUACUGCGUUGCUUGAGGAUCCAAGGGGUGCAUGGAAUUCCCGGUGGAGCGGUGAAAUGCGUUGAUAUCGGGAGGAACUCCGGCGGCGAAAGCGGUGCACUGGUGGAUUACUGACGCUGAGGUGCGAAAGCCAGGGGAGCAAACGGG
rnacentral:rRNA from 1 species